GCCGGGCGUUGUGGCGGGCGCCUGUGGUCCCAGCUGCUUGGGAGGCGGAGGCAGGAGACUCGCUUGAGCCCAGGAGUUGGAGGUUGCUGUGAGCUGUAAUGCCACGGCACGCUACCCAAGGGGAGAGCUUGAGGCUCUGUCUCAAAACAAACAAACAAACAAACAUACUUUUUUUUUUUUUUUUUUUUUGAGACAGAGCCUCAAGCUAUCCCCCUGGGUAGAGUGCCGUGGCAUCACGCUCACAGCAACCUCCAACUCCUGGGCUCAAGUGAGUCUCCUGCCUCAG
rfam:Otolemur garnettii contig106453, whole genome shotgun sequence.